UUUUUUGGAAAGAUGCAUUUUUGUCAUAUUUCCCAGGCUGAUCUCCAACUCCUGGGCUCAAGUGACCCACCUGCUGGGAUUACAGAUGCUAACUCCAAGAGGACCUCCUAAUAACCUUUCCUCAUGCAGAUCUCCAUGUGAGUCAACUUUCUGAAGAAUCCCACCUGUGACAGGUUGUAAGAAAAUGAACUGAACCGUUUUGAGGCUUUGUGAGUCUACGUGUGCCUUGGGCAACAAGUUUCAGGCAAAAGCAUUUUUUUUCUAUUCUGCAAUAUUCACCCAUUAUAAAAAAAGAAAUCUUGCAAUAGCUUUCAGAUAUUACACCUUUUUAUGGUAGGGUUUGAUCUCGGCUCCCUUUUCCCUUAUAGAAAAUCAUGGAGAACACCUUGCCACUUUUCCAAUACACUCUAAAUUCUCAAUAGUUGGACACUUGGUUUUUUCCAUCUUGGAAACCACACUACAUUUUAUAGAGCCUUGUACACAGCGGAUGGAUGAUGAAUAAGUUGGUGACUGACUGUAUUAGUGAAGUAAAGAACAAAUGAAUAUAA